UGGGGAAUUUUGGACAAUGGGGGAAACCCUGAUCCAGCCAUCCCGCGUGUGCGAUGAAGGCCUUCGGGUUGUAAAGCACUUUUGGCAGGAAAGAAACGUCAUGGGUUAAUACCCCGUGAAACUGACGGUACCUGCAGAAUAAGCACCGGCUAACUACGUGCCAGCAGCCGCGGUAAUACGUAGGGUGCAAGCGUUAAUUGGAAUUACUGGGCGUAAAGCGUGCGCAGGCGGUUCGGAAAGAAAGAUGUGAAAUCCCAGAGCUCAACUUUGGAACUGCAUUUUUAACUACCGGGCUAAAGUGUGUCAGAGGGAGGUGGAAUUCCGCGUGUAGCAGUGAAAUGCGUAGAUAUGCGGAGGAACACCGAUGGCGAAAGCAGCCACCUGGGAUAACACUGACGCUAAUGCAAGAAAGCGUGGGGAGCAAACAGG
rnacentral:rRNA from 1 species